UCAUGUGUUUAUUAAUGGUAUAUAUUCUUCAUUGACAUACCACUUCAAAUGUUGUCCAUAUUUUAUAUUUUAUUGUUUUUCUUACUGAGUCAUAAGAGCACUUUUUAAUAUUUUGAGCACAAUGCUGUUGCCAAAUAUAUAUAUUUUUAAGUAUUUUUUUCCAUUCUGUGGCUUGUGUUUACAUUUUCUUUGAGUGACCUGUGGGGAUCGCUCCUGUGUGAGGCCCCUAGGAAAUGGGCCUCGCCAUAAGGUGAGCUUGAGCUGGGACACAGAUCCCCAGUUGGGAGAGUCGAGCUGAGGGAAAGCAGGAACCUAGAGAGGGACUAUGCUAUUCAAAACAAUUAACAGACAUUACUUUAUGGAUAUGAGGACUUGGGAGGCAUUGUGUCCACUUUUGGCUCCUUAUGGUUUAUUGCUUGAUUGUGUUCAUUUUGGACCCUUGUUACCUUCAUCGUAAAAUAUUAACUUAAGUAUUUACACUUGGUAACUUACUUAUCGUAACUUACUGGGUGUAACUGUAACUUACCUACCAUAACUUACUGGGCGCAACCGUAACUUACUUACCAUAACUUACUGGGCGUAACUGACUUACUGGGCUUAACUUACUUACUGGGCAUAACUUAGUGGGCAUAACUUGCUUACUGUAACUUAAGUAUGUUGAUCUGGCAUAAACAUCAUUAACUUCAGAAAAGUAUAUAAUGGAACAUAUUGCAAAAAUAAAAUUGCUGCUUGGACAUAGCCUAAGCCAGCCCUCCAGACUCCGCUUUUUUUUUUCUUUUACUUCCGCCCACUCUCUCCCUCAGGUUGAACGAGACAUCUACGUUGGUGGUCUUGGGGAUUCCCGCAGCAUACGUAUGCUGGAAUUUUAUCUUGCCAAGUAUUGCCUUAUGUUGCUACUUAUUUACGGCUGCAUGAAAUCCUUUUCCACAAAUGCAUCACAUGGUGUUCUGCGGUUUUCUUCUAUAUUGCAGCGGAUAAAAGAUAUGGCUCUCUGGAGAAAAGAUAAAUGACAAAGUGGCUCACAUUGGUAAUCCCAGCAAUUCCGCCAGCUGAGUGGGAGGAUCCCUUGAGCCCUGGAGUUCCAGUCCACAGUGAGCGAUAAUUGCUAUAAUCAUGUCACUGCAUUCCAGCCUGGAUGACAGACCAAGACCCAUCUCUUUAAAAAAAAAAAAAAAGGAAAGAAAGAAAAGAAAAGAAUGUAUAGAACAUUUAUUUUUUAUUUAGGACCAACCAUUGUUUCAUCUCUUAAAGACCUAAAUAGUAACAAUUCUAUUAAGAAGCUGGGAUUGGAAGAAUAAAUUGCAUGAAUCUAUUUGGAGAAUUAACAUGGAAAACUAUUGUCACAUGAUUCUUUUCUUACAUUUCAUUAAUUGUUAUCUCCACAGAGGAUUUAAAUAAUUGCAUUUGUUACAUUUUAAGAAAGUAGUUCUACCCUAUGGGGGUUUGAAGUAGAGGUGCAGGUGAAUGGAGGCGACACAGUGCUUUACACUAAAUGGAUCCAGCCAGCUGUGGUUUCCAAGCGCUUGAGCCUGCUCUUUACAGUUUCCUUUAAAAUGGUUAUAUCUGCUCUGGGAAGGUAAUACCAAUAAUCAAGUUUAUUAGAUGUGUAUAUAAUUAAAGUUAAUGGUCCUUGAGAGGUGUCUUGAGGGCCCUUCAAUGAGGAAAGGACAUGAGAUUUCAAGGCAUGGGCUUCAUAAAAUCUCUUUUGGUUACUCAGAUACACUCUAUCGUUUAUUUUUGUUUCAGGGUGAAUUUGAGGGUACUCAGACAGAGUAUUACUGUGAAUAUAUCCAUAAAUUUAUUAUUUAUUGUCAUGUUAUAUACCUUAUUAAAAUCUCCUUUCAAAUUUUCAAAUUAUUUCUAAUGCAUGUAGAAAAUAUGGCAGAUUUUUAAUAUUGAAAUUGAUGCCAAAUUCAUUAAGAAUGUUAAAUUUAAUAUUGAGAAAUAAUACAAAUUAAAAU
rnacentral:lncRNA from 1 species